rnacentral:rRNA from 1 species
AUUGAACGCUAGCGGGAUGCCUUACACAUGCAAGUCGAACGGAGUGGCGAACGGGUGAGUAAUGUAUCGGAACGUGCCCAGUAGCGGGGGAUAACUACGCGAAAGCGUAGCUAAUACCGCAUACUAUUGGAGCGGCCGAUAUCCGAGUAGCUAGUGGGUGGGGUAACGGCUCACCAAGGCGACGAUCCGUAGCGGGUUUGAGCGGACGACCAGCCACACUGGGACGUAGACACGGCCCAGACUCCUACGGGGGGCAGACGUGGGGAAUGUUGGACAAGGGGGGAAACCCUGAUCCAGCCAUCCCGCGUAGGCGAGGAAGGCCUUCGGGUUGUAAAGCACUUUUGGCAGGAAAGCGGUACCUGCAGAAUAAGCACCGGCUAACUACGUGCCAGCAGCCGCGGUAAUUC